UCUCAGUGAUGAAAACUUUGUCCAGUUCUGCUACUGACAGUAAGUGACGAUAAAGUGUGUCUGAGGAGA
ensembl:snoRNA SNORD38B small nucleolar RNA, C/D box 38B